rnacentral:sRNA from 1 species
AUUCAAAUACCACGCAGGCAAUGAUGGAAACGGAGUCAAGUUUGGGCCAGGAAGCCACCUGCAGCUGGGCGGGCAACUUUGUGAAGAAUGUCCCGAUGAACCACGGCGUGUACACGUGGCCGGACGGCAGCAUGUAUGAAGGCGAAGUGGUCAACGGCAUGAGGAACGGAUUCGGGAUGUUCAAGUGCAGCACCCAGCCUGUGUCCUACAUCGGCCACUGGUGCAAUGUUAUAAAUCUGGAAAUAUAUACGAAGGCCAGUGGGAAGACAACAUGCGCCACGGGGAGGGGAGGAUGAGGUGGCUGACCACCAACGAAGAGUACACCGGGCGGUGGGAGAGGGGCAUCCAGAAUGGCUUUGGAACACACACGUGGUUUCUAAAGAGAAUCCGCAGUUCCCAGUAUCCUUUGAGAAAUGAAUACAUAGGGGAGUUUGUAAAUGGAUAUCGUCACGGACGUGGCAAGUUUUAUUAUGCCAGUGGAGCCACGUAUGAUGGAGAAUGGGUUUCCAAUAAGAAACAUGGCAUGGGCCGAUUAACUUUCAAGAACGGGCGUGUGUACGAAGGCGCAUUCUCCAAUGACCACAUAGCCGGGUUUCCAGAUCUUGAAGUUGAAUUCAUCAGCUGCCUGGACCUGUCUUCAGGAGUUGCCCCAAGAUUGUCCAGGAGCGCCGAACUGAUCAGAAAGCUUGAUGGCAGUGAAAGUCAUUCUGUGUUGGGAUCGAGCAUUGAGUUGGAUCUAAAUUUGCUCCUGGACAUGUACCCUGAGACAGUCCAACCUGAAGAAAAGAAGCAGGUGGAAUAUGCCGUCUUAAGAAAUAUUACAGAAUUAAGAAGAAUCUACAGCUUUUACAGCAGCCUGGGAUGCGGCCACUCUCUGGAUAAUACCUUUCUGAUGACAAAGCUUCACUUCUGGAGAUUUCUAAAAGAUUGCAAAUUUCAUCACCACAAACUAACUCUUGCUGAUAUGGACAGGAUAUUAAGUGGCAAUUUAUUCUGUGAGCAACAGCGGACGCUCUACUCUAUGAGUUACAUGAAUAAGUGCUGGGAGAUUUAUCUCGCCUACUGCAGACGCAGCGCAGCGCCUCCCCACGAGCCUACGAUGAAGAUGAGACACUUCCUCUGGAUGCUGAAAGACUUUAAAAUGAUAAAUAAAGAAUUAACAGCAGCUACAUUUAUGGAGGUCAUAGCAGAGGAUAAUCCGUUCAUAUAUGAUGGAAUUGACAGCAACUUUGAACCUGAGGAUGCCCCGAACAAGAGUCUCAGCGCGGUCAUGAGCCACGAAUCGGAUGCUGCUCACUCUGACAGUGCCAGGUCAUCUUCCAGCAAGUUAGAACUCUCGCGUGAUGUUAACAAAAUAAGGAAAUCAGAGAGAAGUAUGAGAGACCCAAGGAUGAUCGAAAGGAAGAGUUCAACACGUGGGUCAAUAAUAUGUACGUCUUCUUUGUGAACACGCUCUUUCACGCGUAUAAACGUGAAGAAGCUAUCAAGGAGAAAAUAAGGGCAGACAGGUUACGUAGCACAGCACAGGCCCAGCAGCGGAAGAUGGAAGAUGACGAACUGGAAGCAAGGUAACUUAUGAGGUCCCUCCUCUCCUUCCCCAGCUGCUCUCUCUCUUCCUGUCUUCCGCAGCUGCCAGAACGCAUCAGGACCAAGUGCUUUCCGGACAAGCUGUAAUUUCCUAUGGGCAUCGUUGACAUAAAAAGGAAUGAAUAUUUGGUCUCUGUUCCUGGCA